GGCAGACGGGUGAGUAACAUGUGGGUAUCUACCCUAUGGCCUGGAAUAACACGAGGAAACUUGUGCUAAUACCGGAUAAGUCUUUACGGAGAAAGCUUUAUGCACCAUUGGAUGAGCCCGCACUUGAUUAGUUUGUUGGUAGGGUAAUGGCCUACCAAGACUUUGAUCAAUAGCUGAUUUGAGAGGAUGAUCAGCCACAUUGGGACUGAGACACGGCCCAAACUCCUACGGGAGGCAGCAGUGGGGAAUCUUGCACAAUGGAGGAAACUCUGAUGCAGCGAUGCCGCGUGAGUGAAGAAGGCCUUUGGGUUGUAAAGCUCUUUCGUCGGGGAAGAAAAUGACUGUACCCGAAUAAGAAGGUCCGGCUAACUUCGUGCCAGCAGCCGCGGUAAUACGAAGGGACCUAGCGUAGUUCGGAAUUACUGGGCUUAAAGAGUUCGUAGGUGGUUGAAAAAGUUGGUGGUGAAAUCCCAGAGCUUAACUCUGGAACUGCCAUCAAAACUUUUCAGCUAGAGUUUGAUAGAGGAAAGCAGAAUUUCUAGUGUAGAGGUGAAAUUCGUAGAUAUUAGAAAGAAUACCAAUUGCGAAGGCAGCUUUCUGGAUCAUUACUGACACUGAGGAACGAAAGCAUGGGUAGCGAAGAGGAUUAGAUACCCUCGUAGUCCAUGCCGUAAACGAUGUGUGUUAGACGUUGGAAAUUUAUUUUCGGUGUCGCAGCGAAAGCG
rnacentral:rRNA from 1 species